CACUGGGCCAUGGUGCUUUCGACUGAUUCCCUGAUGAAGGAAGCAAAGCUGUGGUCCUGGUCUGAGACAUCUGGUAAGUGGUGGCACCUGUGUGUCAACACCAGGUGUUCUUCUGUACUGGGUGCCUUGGUUGGGAUUUUCCUUUUGGGGAGAGGGGAGGCAUAGGACUUAGUCGUCUGGUUUUGAGCAGAGCACCACUUUAACUGGGUUUUCCCUUCUGGGUCAAGGAGUCUCUCGGUCAUCUGGCACCGCCUGUGGUCACCCCCUAUUAGACCAUGGCUCAUCUGCACCCCGGCUGGAACAGAAGCCUGAUUCAGAGCCACCUACAAGUUUGUCCGGAAGUGAGCUGUGUGAAUAUCAUACGUACUGGAAAAGGCAUCAUUGAAAGAACUGUCUCCAGCCUAGAUGGAAGGACUCUUACAAGGUGAACCUUGAAUUGCAUAGGUCCACUUAAAGGUGGAUUUUAUUCAAUAUAUAUUGGAAAUUUCUUUGGAGAUUUGCAACAAUUUGAAAAAACUCAGACAAACCACACAGCCGAAACAAGAGUCAGGUACGUCAUGAAUGCAUGAAAUGCAUGUAGGUACUAGUCUAUCCGUACACAGGCAUAAGGUGAGUUGGCAUUUGAUAUAAAAUUAAGAAUGUGUUAAUGCUCUUACUGUUUUAGAUCUUUGCCUCUCUCGUAGUUGGACAGAUGGUGGCUUAGCCUAUCACAGAUAAACGUCUUUUUAUGUAAGUGUUUCCAAUACUGUGUUAUGAAUAUGACUGACGUUAUAAGCCAUA